rnacentral:rRNA from 1 species
GAUGAACGCUGGCGGCGUGCUUAACACAUGCAAGUCGAACGGAAAGGCCCAAGCUUGCUUGGGUACUCGAGUGGCGAACGGGUGAGUAACACGUGGGUGAUCUGCCCUACACUUCGGGAUAAGCCUGGGAAACUGGGUCUAAUACCGGAUAGGACCACUUCUUGGAUGUUGUGGUGGAAAGUUUUUUCGGUGUGGGAUGAGCUCGCGGCCUAUCAGCUUGUUGGUGGGGUAAUGGCCUACCAAGGCGUCGACGGGUAGCCGGCCUGAGAGGGUGUACGGCCACAUUGGGACUGAGAUACGGCCCAGACUCCUACGGGAGGCAGCAGUGGGGAAUAUUGCACAAUGGGCGCAAGCCUGAUGCAGCGACGCCGCGUGGGGGAUGACGGCCUUCGGGUUGUAAACUCCUUUCGCUAGGGACGAAGCGUUUUGUGACGGUACCUGGAGAAGAAGCACCGGCUAACUACGUG